rnacentral:rRNA from 1 species
UACGUAGGGGGCAAGCGUUGUCCGGAAUCAUUGGGCGUAAAGCGCGUGUAGGCGGCUCGGUAAGUCCGCUCUGAAAGUCCAGGGCUCAACCCUGGGAUGCGGGUGGAUACUGCCGGGCUCGAGUCCGGAAGAGGCGAGUGGAAUUCCCGGUGUAGCGGUGAAAUGCGCAGAUAUCGGGAGGAACACCAAUGGCGAAGGCAGCUCGCUGGGACGUGACUGACGCUGAGGCGCGAAAGCGUGGGGAGCAAACGGG